UACGGGGGGGCAAGCGUUGUUCGGAAUUACUGGGCGUAAAGGGCUCGUAGGUGGCCAACUAAGUCAGACGUGAAAUCCCUCAGCUUAACUGGGGAACUGCGUCUGAUGCUGGAUGGCUUGAGUUUGGGAGAGGGAUGCGGAAUUCCAGGUGUAGCGGUGAAAUGCGUAGAUAUCUGGAGGAACACCGGUGGCGAAGGCGGCAUCCUGGACCAACACUGACACUGAUGAGCGAAAGCCAGGGAGCAAACGGG
rnacentral:rRNA from 1 species